rnacentral:tRNA from 1 species
GGGGUUGUGGCUCAGCGGUAGAGCACUUGCCUAGCCUGUGUGAUGUCCUGAGUUCAAUCCUCAGCACCACA